CAAGAGUGAUGUGGUGUAGGUUGUGUUUCGUGAGGCACUGCCAAGAUCACAAGAAUGUGACUGUUUUUAUGAUGAUCAAUGACUCUGACCUCCACAAAGGAUUCCUCUGUGAGUGAGGGAUCAGAUGGCAGCCUGUGGACAGCUGGCAUUCCUCAGCGUAUUGGUCAGACGACACUCCCUCCUCCGAGAAUGGCAGGGUUCCCUCAGUGGAGGAGGCGAGCUGAUUGGGUCAGCUGGGAGCUAAGUGAGGUCACAGGGAGGGGCCCCUACCCUGUAUAAUUGUAUCUUUAUAAGGAGUGAAAGAGACACCAUCUACGGCUUCGCUCCUGGGGAGCCAGAAGCAUGGAAUCAGGUCCGCGUGGUGGAGGGUUUGGGGCAGGGGCGGGUAAAUAUGAGGAAAGGGCCAGACAGUGAAUAUUUUAGGGUUUGUGGCUGUGCAACUCUGCUGUUGUAGUGCAGAAGCAGCCGUGGGUGAUACCUGGGCAAAUGGGCCUGGCUGUGUUCCCAUGAAAAUGCAUUUACUAUAACAGAUGCCAAGAGGAUUAGGCCACCAACUUUGGCGUGUGCUCUUCGGGCCUGCCGUCUAACAGAAUGAGGGUUCCAGCGGUGUUCGCAUCAUCAGACGUCUAGUGUUCUGCACAUAAAACAAGCUCUUGAGGUCAGGAGACAACAUGCAAUCUAGCAGGCAGGUAGCUCGUGAAGCGUCUCAUCUCCCAGCAUAACAAGUGCUUCUCCAUCCAUAUGUACAGAAUUCCACUCUCCAGGUGGGAACGUUGUGAUGGAAUACGCUCUGAGAGAUAGAGGAGGCGACUUCUGCCAGGAGUGAUCAGGAGGACUUCUUGGAGGAGGCAGCACUUGAGCUGGUCUUGAAAGAUGAUGAGAUUUUAAUGGGAAAAGAGAUGAUCGAGAAGAACCUUCUAGCAGGAGGGAGCUGCCCUAGCAAAGACAGGAAGGCUGGAAAAUGCGAGAAGUGGGACAGGAAGAUCAACACAGGACCUCUCCCUUCUGAGCCAAACUGACACCUACCUCUUGCCAUGACAGGCCGCUCUUCUGGAGAUUAUAAACUAUUUAUUUUUAACAGAGAAACUGCCUUAGUUGGAGUUCUGGCUCUGCCACUUACUUAGGUAAGAAAGAACUUCUUGGGCCUCAGGCCCUCACCUGUAAAAGGGGCUGAAUAAUAGGAUUGUGCCUCUCUCCAAUGGGCUGUUAGAGGUUGGACUGCAUGCCCCCAAUACUCUUAUGCUGAGGCCUAACCCGGUGUGACUGCACAUGGAGACAGGGUGUGUAGGGAGGGGAUGAAGCUUAAGUGAGGCCACAGGGGAGGCCCAACCCUGUAGAGUCGUGUCUUUAUAAGGAGUGAAAGAGACACCAUUGCUUGCUUCUCUCCUGUGGGCAGAGGAAAGGCCAGGUGAGGACACAGGCAGGAGGUGCCCCCGCAGCCUCAGGCAGAGCCCUCACCACGCCAGCCCUGCUGACGCCUUGAUCUUGGACUCCCAGGCGUCUGCUGCAUAAGCCACCCCGUCCGACGUACUUUCCCAUGGCAGCUUGAGCAGAAUGAGACUGGGGCUUUGGAAGAAGGAACUUCACAUGUGAGGAGCUUGGAGAGUGGGACGUGCCAUGUGUGCACAUGUGCUGCUGGUGGACCUCUAAUUACUACUGCGUUCUUAUGAGGAGUGCCUUGUGCUUUGCAGCAUCUAACGUCUUGGUAGUGACCUGCCAGUGCCUGUCCAACCUGUCAGCAGAUCACGGUCGCGAACCCUGGGAGAGAGCUGACAACACGUUUCCCGUGUGAGACUCUGUGUCUCCCGAGAAGCAGACACCAAGACAGGAUGAGAGAUGCACAGAUUUUAUUGGGAAAAACACCUGCAGGAGAAAACGGUCAUCAGAGCCUGAACAAGUCCUCCCGCAAUGACCUACCAGGUGGUGCCAGGCCUGUAGCAGGUACCCUGGAUCGGAUCGGCUGCUCUGCUCCACGAGGCUCCCAGCACCAUCUCAGCAGGUCGGCGCUGCCUCAGGUCUGAAAUGAUGUCUUCUCUUUCCUGUUUUCUGAGCAGCUCAUUCUGCUGCCCGUCAAAUAGGCCCUUUCCCCAGGACCCUUGGGGUCCAGCUGAGUGGAGCAGCCUCCCACACUGGAAGCCUUGAGUUUUCCCCACCUGGGCCUUUCUCUCUGUCCCUGACAUCCGGUUGGUCACCAGAUCCUGGCAGUUGAAAGUCAUUCUCAAGUCCAGCCCCACCACUGCACCUCGGUCCAUGCUCCUGGACACCAGUCUCUCACCGAGCGCUAUGCGUGGCUUGCGUCUGCGGCUGAGAAAUCCUUUCAAACGCACGCCUUCCCUAUUAUAUCCAGCAUAGGAUCUGACCCGGCAGGACCUCAGUAAAGACUUGUGGCUGCUUUAAGAGUGGGCACCUGCCGUCACAUUUUCCUCAGCAUUUUCCCUAUGCUGCUGGCGCAUUGGGUAGCUCUACUCAACCCAUGACGGAUUGCAGAUCUUUUGGCCGCUGCAUUCACAAAUUUGUCCCGAGCCGCUCCAUGGAAGGCAUCCCAGAAGCCUAUCAAUCUUCCCAUGAGUGUUCAAGAUUCCCAAAUCCCCAAAAGGCCCUAAUACCAUCUCUGUGUGAGCAGCUGCCCAUGUGUUGGGGAGUGCCCUGCCUGAGGCAGAGGGCGCACUGCAUCUGUUUGGAGGUGGGUGAGCCUCACGUGUUCUGCACAGGGCAUGAGGUAGGCAUUGGAGAGCAGCCCUGGCCCCCCCACCCAGGGGACAGUAGGUGGGGUUCUAAAUUAUGAGUCAUUAAUCAGCUCUUCAUAUGUCUGAAUUAUUCAUAAAGUAAGUGCUUGUGGUUUGGAUGCUAGUCUAUGAAUAUAUAGGCAAAUUAUUUAUUAUGGCAUUUACAUGGAUUUUGCAAAAAAGUUUUCCAGAAACCCUUUAGGUUCAGUGGUUGAAUUUAACAAAUAUUUCCUGUGCACCUACUCUAUGACAGAAAUUGUGAUUGGCGUUAAAGACAUAAAGAUGAAUAGGAUAAUAAGCACCUGCCUUCAGUGUGCUCUGGGUUAGCAGGGAGAACACACAAUCCAGCUGGUCCACAGAGGCUGACUUAUUAACAACAUUUAUCACAGCAUGUGGGAAAUAUGAGCUAACUGUAUUUCAGAUAGUAACAUGACCACGCCAAAACCAAACCAAAUCAAAACAAGGCAAGAAACCAAACCAACAAACCAACCCCACCACCACAACAGAAACUAACCCAAGUAACAUUGAACACGGAACCUUGACCUAUAACCCUUGUCCUGCAGACAAAAUACCUGCAAACAAAUAUUGAACUUGACUUGUGGGUUUGCUUUCACUGUGGUGCAAGGUAGCAAUUCUGUAAUGAUUUUCUGUCUUGUAGGGUUGAGCAAAUACAAGAUUCCACCAGUGCUGUUGGAAGCCAGCGUUCUUGUUUUUGGAAAGGGGACAUUUUCUUUCUUUCUCUUAUUUUUUUCCCUCCCUCCCUCCCUCCCUCCCUCCCUCCCUCCCUUCCUUCCUUUCCGUCAAAGCACUUACAAUCUUCUCACAUACUAUACAAUUUACUUAUUUAUUGUGUUCCCCAUUUGGUGUCUGUCUUCCCCCCGGGGGCAGGGCUCUUUGCUGCUUCAUCCAAUAUGUGUUCACGAUCUGAGUGCCUGCAAUAGUAGGCAUGUGCUUAUCUAGUGAAUGAUGGGCAAUGGUGGUGGAGAUGCAGAUUAGGACCAGGUCAUGGGGAGUACUGGAUUACGAAAGUGAACACAUUUGGAUUUCAGCCUGUUGGAAAAUGAGAUGAUGCUGGAAGUGGUGAAGGGGCUGCAACAUGAUGAGAG
rnacentral:lncRNA from 1 species